rnacentral:rRNA from 1 species
GACGAAGGAUGCAAGCGUUAUCCGGAUUCAUUGGGUUUAAAGGGUGCGUAGGCGGCCUUAUAAGUCAGUGGUGAAAUCUUUGGGCUUAACCCAAAAAUUGCCAUUGAUACUGUAGGGCUUGAGUACAGUUGCUGUGGGCGGAAUAUGACAUGUAGUGGUGAAAUACAUAGAGAUGUCAUAGAACACCGAUUGCGAAGGCAGCUCACAAAACUGUAACUGACGCUGAGGCUCGAAAGUGCGGGGAGCAAACAGG